rnacentral:tRNA from 1 species
GGCUGCGUAGUUCAACUGGAUAGAAUAUCAGAUUUCGGCUCUGAGUGUUGGAGGCUCGCAUCCUCUCGCGGUCA